rnacentral:rRNA from 1 species
ACGGAAGGCAGCAGUGGGGAAUAUUGCACAAUGGGCGAAAGCCUGAUGCAGCGACGCCGCGUGAGUGAAGAAGUAUCUCGGUAUGUAAAGCUCUAUCAGCAGGGAAGAAAAUGACGGUACCUGACUAAGAAGCCCCGGCUAACUACGUGCCAGCAGCCGCGGUAAUACGUAGGGGGCGAGCGUUGUCCGGAAUGACUGGGCGUAAAGGGCGUGUAGGCGGCCGAUUAAGUCCGAAGUGAAAGUCCUGCUUUCAAGGUGGGAAUUGCUUUGGAGACUGGUUGGCUUGAGUGCGGAAGAGGUAAGUGGAAUUCCCAGUGUAGCGGUGAAAUGCGUAGAGAUUGGGAGGAACACCAGUGGCGAAGGCGACUUACUGGGCCGUAACUGACGCUGAGGCGCGAAAGCGUGGGGAGCGAACAGGAUUAGAUACCCUGGUA